GAUGAACGCUGGCGGCGUGCCUAAUACAUGCAAGUCGAGCGAACAGACGAGGAGCUUGCUCCUCUGACGUUAUCGGCGGACGGGUGAGUAACACGUGGAUAACCUAACUAUAAGACUGGGAUAACUUCGGGAAACCGUGUCUAAUACCGGAUAAUAUAUUGAACCGCAUGGUUCAAUAGUGAAAGAAGGUUUUGCUUUCACUUAUAGAUUGAUCAGCGCCUCAUUAACUAGUUGGUAAGGUAACAGCUUAACAAGGCAACGAUUCGUAACCGCCCUGAGAGGGACAUUCGCUAGCUUGUCACAGAGAAUGGUUAGCCACUCUUACGGGAGGCCGCAGUAGGGAAUCUUACGCGAAGGGGCAAUGCCUAACGGUGCACAGUCGCGUGAGUGCUGAUGGUCUUAGGCUCGUAAAACUAUGAAAUUCGGGAAGAAGAAAUGUGUAAGUACCUAUGAACGUAUUGACGGUACCUAAUCAGAAAGCCACGGCUAACUCCGUG
rnacentral:rRNA from 1 species